AACGAACGCUGGCGGCAUGCCUAACACAUGCAAGUCGAACGAGACCUUCGGGUCUAGUGGCGCACGGGUGCGUAACGCGUGGGAACCUGCCCUUAGGUUCGGAAUAACUCCCCGAAAGGGGUGCUAAUACCGGAUAAUGUCUUCGGACCAAAGAUUUAUCGCCUUUGGAUGGGCCCGCGUUGGAUUAGCUAGUUGGUAGGGUAAAAGCCUACCAAGGCGACGAUCCAUAGCUGGUCUGAGAGGAUGAUCAGCCACACUGGGACUGAGGCACGGCCCAGACUCCUACGGGAGGCAGCAGUGGGGAAUAUUGGACAAUGGGCGAAAGCCUAAUCCAGCAAUGCCGCGUGAGUGAUGAAGGCCUUAGGGUUGUAAAGCUCUUUUACCCGAGAUGAUAAUGACAGUACCGGGAGAAUAAGCUCCGGCUAACUCCGUG
rnacentral:rRNA from 1 species